rnacentral:rRNA from 1 species
GACGAACGCUGGCGGCGUGCCUAAUACAUGCAAGUCGAACGCAGUUGCGAACGGGUGAGUAACGCGUAGGUAACUGCCUCAUAGCGGGGGAUAACUCUUGGAACCGAUAGCUAAUACCGCAUACUGUGAGAUGGACCUGCGUUGUAUUAGCUAGUUGGUGAGGUAAAGGCUCACCAAGGCGACGAUACAUAGCCGACCUGAGAGGGUGAUCCGCCACAAUGGGAAUGGGACACGGGCCCAACUCCUACGGGAGGGAGCAGGAGGGAAUCUUCGGCAAUGGACGGAAGUCUGGCCGAACAACGGCGCGGGGGUGAAGAAGGGUUUCGGAGCGGAAAGCUAUGUUGUUAGAGGAGCGGUACCUAACCAGAAAGGAACGGCUAACUACGUGCCAGCAGCCGCGGUAAUAC